CCUACGGGAGGCUGCAGUGAGGAAUUUUGGGCAAUGGGCGAAAGCCUGACCCAGCGACGCCGCGUGGGUGAUGAAGGCCUUCGGGUCGUAAAACCCUGUGAGAUGGGAAGAAGCCGUUGUGUGCCAAUACCACAUCGCGGUGACAGUACCAUCAGAGGAAGCCCCGGCUAACUACGUGCCAGCAGCCGCGGUAAAACGUAGGGGGCAAGCGUUGUUCGGAAUUACUGGGCGUAACGCGGGUGUAGGCGGCUUGGCAAGUCGGAAGUGAAAGCCCCAGGGUCAACUUGGGAACUGCUUUCGAACCUGCCAGGCUGGAGUGCAGGAGGGGAGAGCGGAAUUCCAGGUGUCGCGGUGAAAUGCGUAGAUAUCGGGAGGAACACCGGUGGCGAAGGCGGCUCUCUUGACCGUAACUGACGCUGAGACGCGAAAGCGUGGGUAGCAAACAGGAUUAGAUCCCCUUGUAGUC
rnacentral:rRNA from 1 species